AGUGACGGUUAACGGGGGAUUAGGGUUCGAUUCCGGAGAGGGAGCCUGAGAAACGGCUACCACAUCUAAGGAAGGCAGCAGGCGCGCAAAUUACCCAAUUCUAACAGUUUGAGAGAGGUAGUAACAAGAAAUAACAAUACAAGGCAGUUAAAAUGCUUUGUAAUUGGAAUGAUAGAAAUUUAAACCCUUUUUAAAGUAUCAAUUGGAGGGCAAGUCUGGUGCCAGCAGCCGCGGUAAUUCCAGCUCCAAUAGCGUAUAUUAAAAUUGUUGCAGUUAAAAAGCUCGUAGUUGAAGUUCUGCUAAAAGUAACCGGUCUGCUUUUAAUAAAGGUGGUAUCUUGGUGUGUAUUUAGCAAUGAUGUCCUUUGAAGUGUUUUUUACUUUAUUGUAAUAAAGCAUAUUCAGGACUUUUACUUUGAGAAAAUUAGAGUGUUUCUAGCAGGCUAACGCUUUGAAUACUGCAGCAUGGAAUAAUAAGAUAGGAUUUUAGUUCUACAUUAUUGGUUUUAAGAGCUAAAUUAAUGAUUGAUAGGGACAGUUGGGGGCAUUUGUAUUUAACUGUCAGAGGUGA
rnacentral:rRNA from 1 species